UAGUCAAUAAUGGAGCUGCUGCUGGACAAGUAAUUUUUCAUCAUCAGGAAACGCAUUUUCACAUAAUUCCACGUAGAUCUGGUGAUAAGUUAUGGCCUACUGAGAGCUUUAGAAGGCGCUCCAUCGAGCCAAAUGAGACCUCAGGUCUUGUGAACUCCAUCAAGGAACAGCUAUGUUGUACGCUUGAAGGCUGCAAGACUGGAGCAUCUUCACUGCUCAAGGAACCAUGACACAAAGCUGCGCCAGUCCAGUACAUAUAUAAUGCUAUCCAGAUAGCUGCUUCUGCCACAUAAUGGGAUUCACUGCAUACCAAAUGCAAUCUGUGUCUAACACUGGUGCACCUGGUUGCAUGGUCAUUCUGGGAUUUGGGGCUGCUCGAAAGUUUGUUGGUCUAGUUACAAUGGUGUUAUUGCGCCUGUAAAAAGCGUAAGAAAAUAGCGGAGAGUGGCGUCUCAGAGACACGAUUAGUAGAUGUACAAUCAUUCUUGCCCUCCUUCCCAGUUCAGCGUUUUACUUUACCGUGAAUUGUUGCCUUGCAGUGCACCCGUGCGCCUAUUUGACCUGCGAAAGAACUGUAUGGGAGAAGUUGAAGUCAUAAAACUAUUGAGAUCAAAA